GCAGCGUAUCCCUGAGUCUCUUCCUGAGAAGAAAGAAGUUGACAAUGUACCUGGCACCACUACUAAAGCAGGACAACAAAUGGCAAAUGUACAAAUAAAAGCAGCAGAGCCUAUAAUGAAAGUAGAAGGCAGCCGAGACAGCCAUGGUGACAGUGACAAGACUGAGUCACGGAGUAUUUCUGAGCCUCUUUCUAAGAAGAAAG